CCCUAAUGAUAGCCCUAUCUAUAUAAACCCUCAAGCGCUCCAAACUCCCGUGUUACAUUGACCUUCAAAAAAAAAAAAACUUCAUCUUUUCGUUUUGCCGCCAUCACCAUCUCCCCACCUUCAGCCAUCUUUUCUGACGGGGACUACUAGGUGACUUCUUUGAAGACUUCGUACCUUGAGAAAUCACCGCACGCUCAAGGUUGGUAAAGGUACUUGGCUACGAGUGAGGGGACGCUUAGAAUAAUCACCUAGUCAAGGGACAAUUUCUAUUUUAGUUUAAGUUGAAUUUUGUUAUUUAUUUUAUGGAAAUUUAUUGGUUGUAAUAUUUUAUUGGCCACCUUUUAGACCACUUAGUUAAUUUUGAAUUUAAUGGUUUUAAAUGGUUUUGUUGCUUUGCAUUUAAUUUCUAUGGAUAAUAAAUGUAGCAGUGACACUCCCAAGGUUUGGACGAUCGAUUUAUUAAAUAAAAACAGGGUUUUUGAUUAUAUAAAAGGUCCAAAUUUUGGGGGUGUUACAAAUUGGUACCAGAGCUUAGGUUUGUUUUCAAAAAAAAUUAAAAUUAUUUUCUUUUAGGAAAAUUGGGAUUAAUAAGAGUAGGUUAAAAAUUGUAUACGGGUUGUUAAUUUAAAUAGGAUAAAAUAAGUACUAAGUUAGUAAAAGCC